UUUCGAGCGACGAAGGGGGGUAAAUAAUGGUUGGACAGCAAACAGCUCGAUAUUCUUAAAUUAAUACCUUAUUAGUAAUGGUAAGAUUUUACCCCCGCACAUUCUGUAGUGCACUGAAUGCUUAAUAAAACGCAAUUUGUGAUUAAGCAUUGUAAAGCUUUUACUGUAGCAGUUAAGGAUAUUACUGAGUGUCUGACAUUUCAAGCUUUUGGUUGGUGUUUAUAGAUAAGGAUGGAUACAUUUCGGGUCAUGUCGUUGUUUCUUUUGGUUUGUUGUAUGAUUCAUCAUGUGGGAAUUUGAGCAGUCCCAUGUAGUAUCAGUAGCUUGCUUUAUAAUGAAUCCAGAGAGGAAAACCCAAAAUCCAACCGAAUAAACACACGUGAUGGAUAAUGAAGAGGAUCUGGAGUCUCUGGGAGAGAAGCUGUAUGACCUCAUUUAUCCUAAACACCCUGAUAUGGCUCCAAAACUAACAGGAAUGCUGCUGGAACUUCCCGGAGCUGUGAUAAGUCAGAUGCUGCAGGAUGAAGCUCUCCUUACCAAAGCGCUGGAGAGAGCACUGGCUGCCCUGCACCCCGAUACUAGUAAACAGCUGUCACAGGCUGAUGAUGUUGACUCUGUGUCUUCCGACUCCCUGGGUGAACAGCUGUAUGAGCUCAUCAACCUUUACAACACAGGAUACACCCAGAAAAUCACAGGGAUGUUGUUAGAGCAGGAAAAAAAAGUGGUGCAUCAGCUGUUGUCUGAUCCGGUCCUGCUGGAGGAGAAAGUCAACAAGGCCCUGAAAACUUUACAGGAUUGUAGGCUGAGUCAAGAGGAGGCUUGUGCUUCUGACUGCUCUGACCAAGACGAAGUGGACGUGAUUGGAGAGAAACUAUUUGCACUAGUACGAGACACAGAACCAGCCCACUGUGCUGAUAUCACCGGGAUGCUGUUAGAGAUGGACCUUGGGACACUGCGCCAGAUCCUGUCUGAUCGGACCAUGCUAGAAGUUGCAGUGCAGCGAGCAAAGAGUGCUCUGGUGUGUGCACAGACACACUCAUACCAUGUCUAUCCGUGUCACUGAGGGUUUCAGAUAAGUAAUGGCAAGCAAGGAAACAAGAUCAACAAGACAGUACUGAAAAGGGAGAAUGCACAGAGUCAACCCCAACCAGAGAUGAACUAAAGUCAGCAGAAUAUCUUAUUUAUAAAUACUUAAUCUGAAAGGUCAAUGCCAAGAGUGGGGAAACCUGAAAGGGCACGACUGGCCCACUCUUAUCCAUGUCCUGCAUAUUAACAACCAUGAGGGCAUUUUGAUUACAUAAAUCUGUGAUCUGAGAGAUUGUGGUAAAGACUAUCACAUUCCUGGCUAGAUUUCUUUCCGUAGGCAGACCAACAAACUGAAACUGGGAAACAUUUUCAGUGAAGCGAUUUGCUCAGCAUGUUAACUCAAAAAGCAUAAGGUGUAGGGGUUCUUCUUCAAGCCUUACAAACCAUUUAGCAACAAAAUCCUGAAUGUAAUAAAAUGGUUAUAUUAAAGAAGCACUUUUACAAUCAGGGUAAGCAGAGAAGCACGUCAGAAUGAGCAACACGAGAGCAGUAAGGCAGACCGGCUACAAAAACAGAAGUCCACAGUUAAGAUUUCCAGCAAGGAACAGGACUCUGAGAAUAGUGGACAUAAGUUCACACAAACUGGCCUAUUCCCUCCAACGCCCCUAGAAUUUCACUGCCCAAGUUUUGGAGCACAUGUGAUCACUAACCCCAUACUGACAUUUGAUGUGAACGUUAUCUGAAGCUCUUAACCUGCAUCUGCAUGACUUUAUGCACUGUGAUCCGAUAACGAAUGCAUGAACAAGAAGGGUUACUGGUGUUCCUCUUAAAGUGGCCUGUAAGGGAUUAUUACAUCUAUGAUACCAUAAAAUUGUGGAAACAUAUUUUGUACAUAAGCUUUUAGUUCUGUGAUAAAUUUGUUGCAGUACUGAUAUUAAAGUUCAAAUGAAGAC